UGACUGCGAUGAUGUGGGAGGUUGCUGACACACCCGGCCGCUUUGCCAUGGCGCGUGUGUGGGAAAUUUCCACGGAGAAUGUCUAUUAUAAAAAUAGGCGAUAA
rfam:Bacillus sp. VT-16-70 Bacillus_obstructivus_contig171, whole genome shotgun sequence.